rnacentral:rRNA from 1 species
GUGGGGAAUAUUGCGCAAUGGACGAAAGUCUGACGCAGCGACGCCGCGUGAGGGAUGAAGGUUUUCGGAUCGUAAACCUCUGUCAGGAGGGAAGAAAGCGCAUGGCGCCAAUCAGUCAUGCGUUGACGGUACCUCCAAAGGAAGCGCCGGCUAACUCCGUGCC